rnacentral:rRNA from 1 species
UGUGCUGAAUUUUUUUAAUAGCUUUAUUCAUAGCACAUAUAAAAAUAUAAGCUAGCAAAAUAAUACUAUCAUAAUAGCCUUAUAAGGCAAUAAGAUUCAUUAAUUUGAAUAAAUAAGUGUAUAGUUUCUGUAUGUGUAAACAUACAUGCAUACACAGGCGUGAUUUUUCUAUACGGAAAAAAGAAAAAGCCAAAAAGAAAUAUAAAAUAUAAUAUAUAAAAAUAACAAAUAUUUAUACUAUUUAUACUUGAUAUAUAUAUGUAAAUAAUAAAUUAGCAUUAAUGAUGUUUAUAUAAUUUAUACAAGUAUGGAAAGAAAUUAUUAUGAAUUUAAGCUAUAUAUUAUUAAGAGAAUUAUUUAUAUACAUGUAUAUAUAUAUAUCAACUCUAGAGAAAUUAAAUAAUAAACGAGUGAUUGAAAUAUCUUAGUAACUUUAGGAAAAGAAAUAAAAGAGAUUCUAUGAUUAGCGUGAGCUAAAUAGAUAAGCCUAAAAAGUAAAAUGGUUAUAAACUGUUUUAAACUAAAUGGGGAAACCUCCUCAAAGGCUAAAUAUUAAUAAUAAGCGAUAGUGAAAAGGUACCGUGAGGGAACUAAAAGAAAAAAUAGUGAUUUUAUAAGCAGUUCGAAAAUUAAAAAAGUAGAACGUCUUUUGCAUAAUGGGUCACCAAGUUACAUUAGAUGCGAAAUAGACGUAGUGUUAAAACGAGCGUUAAAUAUACGUAAGUGUCUAAGUUAGACCGAAGCCUGGUGAUUUUACCAUAAUCAGGAUAUAAAGUGUCGAACGAUGUUGUAGCAUAAAUCUCGGAAGAAUUAUGGUAGGUGUAGUGAAGACAAAUCAUGACCAGGAUAGCUGGUUUUCUGCGAAACCUAUAUAGUAGGCAAAUUUAGUAUAUAUCUUUUGCAGGUACACAGUUUAAUCUCAGACAGACAUUAAAUGUUUUAUUUUUUGUACAAUGGGGGGAUAUGAAGAUUUUAUCCGUGAGUAUGCAGACUCAGGAAUGGCAAAGAUAUAUCUUAAAUUAUCAGACAUAGAUGAUAAGGUUGUAUGUCAAAAGUUGAAACAGCCAGGAACAAGAGUUAAGGUUCCUAAAUUAUUUGUUGAGUGAAAUUAAGAGACGGUUUUUUAUUAAAGUCGACAGGAGAUAGGCUUAGAAGCAGCCAUAUUUUAUGACCUCGCUACAGAGCGCUUGUAAGUUUUAAAAGCAUCCGAAAUUAACCGGUCUAACAUAUACCGAAACCUUGUCUGAAAUUUAUUAAAUAAUAAAUUUAUUAUAAUUAAAUGGGUAGCAGAACGUUUUGAGCUAAUUAUGAUUUUUAAUUUUUAAAUGAAAUUAAUGUGUGGGCAUGCGAUUUUUAUGUGUAUUCUAUCAACGCAAGCCUUAAUAAAUAUGCAGCAAUGCAAGACUGCAAAAAUUUAGCUCAGCGAUAUGGUGAAUGAGAGUAACUAAAAGAAAAUUUCCGCCUAAAGUAUGGAUGUAUGUAAGUAAGGUCUAAGUUAUAUUAUCUAUAAGAUUUAAACGAUGAGAUAAUCUUUAUUACUUAAGUCGACAUUUUAAGUGAAAAUUACUCGGAAAAAUAGUAAUAUAUUUAAUAAUUAAUGUAUAUAAAUGAAAAGUAACGUCCUAGAAUAUGAAACAAGUAAGGCUAGUAGAGAAUACGAAAGGCGUAAAUGAGCUAACAUCAUAAGAGGAAUCGGAUUGACUUACGAACUUCGGGAUAAAGGAAGCUAUUAUUCUUGAUUAAUAUCAUAAGAGGAAGAAGCAUGAAAUAGUGUUGUACGACUGUUUUAAUUAAAAACACAGCACUUUGCUGAAGAUUAAAUCUAAGUAAUGAGUGUGAUGUCUGCCCGGUGCCGUGAGUUAACAGAUAUAUCUGGAUAUACUAAUAUCUGAUGUAGACGGAAAUCGGCCGGUUAAAGGCGGCUUAAGUGAGGGUCCUGAAGAGGUAGCGAAUGCCUUGGCGUUUAAUGCGGUUUUGCAUGAUGAUGUAAAGAUACACAGCUGUCUUAUGAUUGACUCAGUGAAAUUGUGAAUAGCUGUGCAGAUACAGUUUACUCUAGUUAGACGAGAAGACCUAUGCAGGCUUACUGUCACUAAUUAUGAAGUAUGAUAAACAAUGUUUCAGAUUAUAAGGUAUUGACUAGUGAGCAAUGAGAAUCCUGUUAUUUUUUUUUCAUUAUGAAUGAAUUGUUUAGGAUUAUGAGAUGUUUAUAGCUAUGGUAUAAAAAAUCAUUUAGUACAAUAAUCCUAGUUCAGCUUAUUUUUUAUAAUAUAUAGUUACCCUUUGGUAGGAAUAAUGCUAGGGGAAGUUAUGGUGGGGACCGACCUGUAGAGUAACAGGAGUGUCUAAUAAUUUAAAAUUAUUUUGUUUGCGAUUAAGGUAGUUUAACUAUUUUAAUCAUAUAAAAUUAUUUAUAUGUACAUUAGUUUGUAUAUAUAUUUAAAAAGGUAGGAUUUUUCACUAUAUAGAAAUUAGAGAUAAUUAAACUUAUGUAGCUUUAGUGACUAAUGUUUUAACUAUUAUUAAUAUAAAUAGUUAUGUUAAAAUAUCUAAAAGCUCAAGCGGCUUAAUUUUGCUUACUGUUUGAUUUAUCAAAUCUUACAGUUGCGUAAGCAGGGGCAUAGGAUCACAAGAUGCAACAAGGAAAGAUCUUGGAUUAUUGGAAAGUACGCUAUGGAUGUUUUGUCUUUAAUAUUUUAUUUUAUGUUGUAUGUUAAUACAAUAUUUGGUAUUAACUUU